ANNNNUNNCNNGUGCUAGGUAUGCAGUCGGACGAUCCCUUUGAAUUACUUGAGACUUCGGUUGAUUGUUUUUCUUUUUGGGAUAGUGGCAAACGGGUGAGUAACAUGUGGAUUAUCUGCCCUGAAGACGGGAAUAGCUCAUCGAAAGAUGGGGUAAUACUCGAUAGCCUUACAUUCUUUUAGUUUGUAAGUAAAGCUUUUGCGCUUCAGGAGGAGUCCGCAUCCUAUCAGCUUGUUGGUGAGGUAAUGGCUCACCAAGGCUAAGACGGGUAGCUGGCGUGAGAGCGCGGUCAGCCACCAUGGGAACUGAGACACGGUCCAUACUCCUACGGGAGGCAGCAAUUAGGAAUCUUGCGCAAUGGGGGCAACCCUGACGCAGCGACACAGUGUGGAGGAGGAAGGUCUUCGGAUUGUAAACUCCUUUUAUGAGGGAAGAAUAGAUGACGGUACCUCAUGAAUAAGCACCUGCUAACUACGUGCCAGAAGCAUCGGUGAUGCGUAGGGUGCGAACGUUAUCCGGAUUUAUUGGGCGUAUAGAGAAGCGUAGGUGUUUUUGUAAGUCUUUAGUUAAAUACCACGGCUCAACCGUGGGGAAGCUCCGGAAACUCCAGAAAUUGAGACAGGAAUGGGCGAAUGGAAUUCCCAGUGGAGCGGUGAAAUGCGUUGAUAUUGGGAGGAACAUCACUGGCGAAGGCGAUUCGCUGGUCCUUGUCUGACACUAAGGCUCGAAAGCGUGGGGAGCGAAACGGAUUACAUACCCCGUGUGGUCCACGCCGUAAAACAAUGGACGCUAGGUGUUCGGUACAACUACUUAAUCCUUCGGGAUUGAAUGGAAGUAUUGAGUACCUGCAGCUAACGCGUUAAGCGUCCCGCCUGGGAAGUACGGCCGCAAGGCUAAAACUCAAUGAAUUGGCGGGGACCCUUCAAGCCGAGGACCGCGUGGUUUAAUUCCACGCCAUCGAAAACCUUACAGGUUUGAAAUGUCUCUGCAUGCCUCUUGAACGGGGGGAGGCCUCUGAAGGUGUACA
rnacentral:rRNA from 1 species